rnacentral:rRNA from 1 species
CGGGGUGAGUAACGCGUGAGCAACCUGCCUUUGUGAGGGGGAGUAACACAGGGAAACUUGUGCUAAUACCGCAUGACGCAUACGAAAGACAUCUUUUGUAUGUUAAAGGAGCAAUCCGCACAAAGAUGGGCUCGCGUCUGAUUAGAUAGUUGGUGGGGUAACGGCCUACCAAGUCGACGAUCAGUAGCCGGACUGAGAGGUCGAACGGCCACAUUGGAACUGAGAAACGGUCCAG